rnacentral:lncRNA from 1 species
CUCACCUGCAGCUCCCGAUGUCUCUGUCCAUCUAGGGUCACCCUAGUAGGGCUCUCUGCAGCGGCCCCACCUGUAUGGGGCAUGGGUCUCUGCCUGGGUCGUGAGCCCAAGGCUCCAGGUCACUCCAUCCUUCAAAAUCCAGGUGCAGGUGGCAAGGCCCCCAUGGCUCUUGCUUUCUGUGCACUGGCAGAGGUGGUACCUCCCGGACAACAGACGGCACCAAUGUUUACCACCUGUACCCUCCAGAGGGGCAGCCACCUCUGCCUGUGGCACCAGAAAGCUGGGAGCAGAGGCUUGAAAUCUGCCCCACAGGCUCUUGGGCCUGUGAUGGGAGGGGCACCUCCAUGGUCUCUGAAAUGCCUUGGGGUCAUUCUUCCACCGUCUGGGACAGUAGGCCCCGGCUUCUGUUUACGUGGCUGACUAAUCUCCCCAUUGUCCUGACAGAUGGCUCCUAGCUUAGCUGGGAAGGCCUAUCCACGCCAAUCUCCUUAUCAUUUCGGCCACACCCUUCGUGCCCUCUCUGAACAGGCUUUUGCAUUAUUUUCAAUAAGGGAAAGCUGAGAAUUUUCCAAAUUUUUAAGGUCUGCUUCCUUUCUGGUUACCAGUUCCAUCUUUAGACCAUUCCUCUCUUCUUGUGUUUUACUGGGAGUAUUCAAAAGAAACCAGGCCCCUCCUUCAGCUCUUCCACUUUGCUUGGAAAUUCCCUCAGCGAAGAUCUGAUUUCACGGCUCACAAGUCCUACCUUCUACCAAACUAGGACACGCACGCUUAAUCCAGCCGGGCUGCUUUAUCACAAGGAUUACAACUCUUGUUAUAAAGAGAGAGCCUGAUCCUCAUUUCCAUCCGAGAGCUCAUCAGAAUGGCCUUGACGUCCAGGUUUCGGCCAGCAUUCUGUUCAGGGCCCCUUAGGCAUUCUCUACGAGGACUGGGUCCUCUUCUCUCUCUGGGCUCUCACCAGAAUCCCCGUCACGGUCUGUUCAUGGCAGUGGGGGCUUUUUCUAGCAGCCGCCGCAAAACUUGCAACCCCUGAGUUCCCGAGCUGCUUCCACAUUCUUAGGUCUGUGUUACUGCAGCACCCCCACUCCUCAGUCACCAUUUUCUGACUUAUUCAGGCUGCUGUACCAAAAAUACCAUGAACGGGGUGGAGGGUGCUUAUAAACAACAGAAAUUAAUUUCUCACAGUCCUGGAGGCUGGGAGCCCAAGAUCAGGCUGCUGGCCGAUUAUUUCUGGCGAGAGCCGGCUCCUCACAGACGGCGUCUCUGCUGUGACCUCACAUGGCAGAAAGGGGUUAGGAUUUCAACACGUGACUUUGCUGACUUUGCGGGAAAACAAAUCUUCAGACCACACAGCACCAGGGAACCUGCAGGCUGGGUUUGGAGCUGUCCCCACUGCUGGAGUGAUGAGAGAAGCUGGGAGCAUCACGGAAGUGCCACCCUCUCCUGCCCAGGCUCCUCCUGCCUGCUUACAGCGAGGAGGGGGCCUGGGAGGGCAGCCCCAGAGCAGAGCAUGGAAGGUGGAGCUGAAGAUGAAGAGCAAAUAAUUGACAUGGUCAUCUGGUCAUCUCUCCUCCUGCUGACAUUGACCUCCCGGGAAGCUGGUCACUAAUCCUGGAAGGCGUCCCCCAUCUGUAUUCUGGAUUCACCUGGGUUCCUUGUAGCAUCUGACUUGUUCCUCCAUGCCCUCUGUUUCCUCUAGUCUGGAAGCUGGAUUGAAAGUUCCGACAGGAUACACACUUCCGAAGGGCUGCCCAGUCCUUCCCGUCCCCACACACCAGGAGCCUCAUGUCUGCCUGUUGCACCUCUGCUGAUGCUAAAAGAAUAGGCUCAGAUGGCGACCACCUGGCCCCUUUAUCCUCGGUUCUCCAUCAACCUUUCACUGAAACGUUUUGCACCCGUAGGGGAGCGCCGCCUGAACCAGCUCCCGCACCAGAGCUGUGGAUUAGUCUCCUGACCCUCGUCCCUUCUGCAUUCAGUGGCUGGAAUUCUCUCCCAAGAACUUCCCCCAUCCAUGAGGCUGUUGGGUUACCCUAAAUUAGGUUCAUACCUGGAAGCCAGCAUAAAGCUUAAUUCUUUGCCUUCAGUUGUCAGUUGUCAGAGUAAGAAUGUCCUGGAACCUC